AACGAACGCUGGCGGCAGGCUUAACACAUGCAAGUCGAACGCCCCGCCAGGGGAGUUGCAGACGGGUGGGUAACGCGUGGGAAUCUACCCAUCCCUACGGAAUAACGCACGGAAACGGGUGCUAAUACCGUAUACGCCCUACGGGGGAAAGAUUUAUCGGGGAUGGAUGAGCCCGCGUUGGAUUAGCUAGUUGGUGGGGUAAAGGCCUCCCAAGGCGACGAUCCAUAGCUGGUCUGAGAGGAUGAUCAGCCACAUUGGGACUGAGACACGGCCCAAACUCCUACGGAAGGCAGCAGUGGGGAACAUUGGACAAUGGGCGCAAGCCUGAUCCAGCCAUGCCCCGUGAGUGAUGAAGGCCUUAGGGUUGUAAAGCUCUUUCACCGGAGAAGAUAAUGACGGUAUCCGGAGAAGAAGCCCCGGCUAACUACGUG
rnacentral:rRNA from 1 species